CUCACAAGUUACUUACAUAUUCAAAAUGCACUUGCUCUACUAAACAAAAUGCUCAAAGCUAGUGAAAAAUCGAACUACUAUUUAAUUUGUAACAUCAUGUAAAAAUUAAAUAAUACUAGUAUAACGUUGGUCGACCAUGUCAAAGGCCGACUUACAUCCUUUUUCCUUGCCCCGCUCAUACAAAAUUGACAACUAUUGCUUCUAUCAACGAACCCUAAGUUCCAUGGAGAACUUUUGCACAUCUUAGGAAUCUACUCGUGCAAUUGGUUUGCAUUAAUUUUGUGAUUGCAUCCAUUCACAUUCUAGCCACUAAAAGUGUGUGUGAUGCAAAGCUAAACUAAAUGAAGUAGCCCAAGUGACAAGGUUACUUGACAUGACUUCUCUUUUUCUGAACCUUGUAAAAUAUUUUUGUGAUAGCUGGUACGCCCAGUCUAUCGAGCAAAAUUAGUUCCCAAAAAAAAAAAAAGA
rnacentral:lncRNA from 1 species